UUGGUUGAAUUGGCCAUGGUGUUGCGUGCUAACCCUGAUUCUUUGACUGGUCUUUUGCCGAUGCUGAGGUGGAGACCUAUGUAUCAUGGCGAAGACAAGCUUCCGCUUAUCGUUUGGAUGAUGUCUCAUGCCUUUCAACAAGAUUUACCUGCUGCCUUGUAUUCAUGGGCGGUUAACUUGCUGCCACUAGCCGUCGUUAGUAACAAGUGCUGCUACAGCUCUCAGUCAAUUCAUCUCAUCCUGCAAUUUGUUGAGAUGUGAGUCCCUUUUUUUUUUUUAAGAUUCCCUCCCUCCCUCCUCUGCGCUUGUACGUCUAAAACCUUUGUUGUUUUUUUUUCUUUUAAUCAGGAGGAUUUUGUCCUCGAAUCCAGAGGCUCGGGCUGUACUCCUAAACGAGCCUGUUCGGCAUGGAGAGCGGCUGAUUCCACCUCGUUCGUUUGAGAUCUUGGUGCGCCUUACAUUCCCGCCUAGAGUAGAGGAGGCAACAACAGAGAGGUUUCAGGCAAUUUAUCCCUUGUUGAAGGAAGUUGCCCUUGCACAAGAUACAAGUGCAGACGCACUGAAACAGAUAUUCACUUUUUCUUUGAGAUUAGCUGGGGAAGAAGGUAUUAUCGGCGGCAACAAACAAACGAAACACCACUUGCUUUGCUUCCCCUAUUAAAUUUACCCUUGGCUUUUGUUUACAGGCAAUCCUGCUCUAGCCAGUGAAGCUACAGCAAUCGCCUUCAGUGUUUUGACACAAAACGUUGAUUGCUUUAAGCAAUGGGAUGUUCUCUACAAGGAGCAUCUAGAAGCUAGCGUUGCUCUUCUUAAAAAGCUUGUAGACGAAUGGGAGUAUCAUGCCCCCAAACUAUUAUCAUCAUCACCGACUGAUACUCUCACUGUCGAGCAUGCUAUGAAUAGCUUCAGGAUGAAGGUCUCUUAUUAGACUCUUCUUCUAAGCUAAUAUUUAACUCUUUGACCUCACCCUUGCUAUAUAUUCUGCAGAACGAAAUAGCCAUCACUGAAGGAGUAGCUAAUCUUUCUGUUUACAAAGAAGCUGACAAGUCGUGCAAACUGAUCUCAACGAGACUCACCCCUGGAAGUGGCGGCCGCAACAUAAUGGAUCUGAACAAAUCAAAUCCGGCAAAGAUCGAUCCCUCAGACCUUAAGGUAAGUGAACUCGAGAUCUGAUUUUUUGUAUUUGCAAGUUGUAGAAUUGUCUUCCGAUCAAAAUCUUAUUGCUAUUAGUUAUCUUCAAACUUUGUGAUCAAAGCCCCUGUCGUUAACUUUUGUACAAUGGGAAAACUAAGAGAUGUUCAAUUUUUAUCCUAACCAGCUUGUGGAAGACAAAUCAAACGCUGAGGAAAUUGAAAAGGCGAUAUUGUCUUUGUCCGAAGCUGCCAAAAAGAUGGACCCCUCACCUCUUGCGGCUUACCUCGACCAAGUAUUGGUAAGUGAAAUUCGCGUUUUGUCUAAAUUCAGAAACCGAAUUUUAAUCCUGGUUUGUUGAUAGGACGAUGAUUGGUAUAUACCGGCGAAGCAGAUGUUGAAAUUAAUCCAUUACUAUGGGAUUCAACUUUCCCAAGUAUCCUUUCAAUGGGUCAAGAUGUUCCAGGACUAUCCUUUAUCCAAGCUCAUUCAUGUGAGAGCUUCUAUUUAUUACGUCCUUUUUUGUAAAUCUAAAAGUCAUUCUUUGGUGGUUAGCUGAUGAUGAUAUCUUUCUUGCUUCAGGUUCCGUUAUCUCUUAUUCCUAAGCCUGUCUACGAAAAAACAGUCGAUUUCAUCAACGUACUUCCAUUCGAGACUAUACUACCUGGCGUUGUAUUAUGGGCCUCUGAUUUCAUUCUCACUGAAUGGCCUAGAGUUGUUGUCAAAGUUGAACAAGACAAAUCCAAGGUUCCAAUCUUUUGAAUAAUGGUGUGUUUUAACUUUUGUUUUUGACUCUCUGACUGACUCCAACGUUUUUUUUUUCUUUUUUCCGACUUGUAGGUGGCAGCAUUUGUUGUGUUAGCCAUGGUGUUGCGUACUCGACCUGAUGCCUUGACUCUUGUUUUGCCGGAGCUGAGGGAGAGUCCUACCUAUCAAGGCCAGGACAAGCUGCCGGUUAUAAUUUGGAUGAUGGCUCAGGUUAAUUCUGAUAAAAAAAAAAUAUUUUUAUCCAAAUUUGUUGUGUUUUGUUCAAGUUUGUCAAUAUUUUUUAAUUAAAUGGUGACAGGCCUCCCAAGGUGAUUUAUGUGCUGGCUUGUAUUCGUGGGUGCGUAACUUGCUGCCACUANNNNNNNNNNNNNNNNNNNNNNNNNNNNNNNNNNNNNNNNNNNNNNNNNNAAAAAAAAAAAAAAAGGUCCUGACAUAUCUUGCUCUUGCACAGGUUCCAUUAUCUUAUAUUCCUAAAUCCGUCUACGAAACAGCCGCCGAUUGGAUCAACAAACUUCCAUCCGUUUCACACUGGAAGUUCGUAACGUGGGCGCUUGACCGACUUCUCAUUGAUUGGGCAGCACAUGCUAAAGGCGAAGAACAACCUUUUAUCAUAUAUCAGGUCUUUGUUUGUCUUAUAUCUCCUCUUCUUCUAUUUAGUGCCUUACCUUCCCACUAUCUUGGUAGGUGGCGACAUUGGUUGAAUUGGCCAUGGUGUUGCGUGCUAACCCUGAUUCUUUGACUGGUCUUUUGCCGAUGCUGAGGUGGAGACCUAUGUAUCAUGGCGAAGACAAGCUUCCGCUUAUCGUUUGGAUGAUGUCUCAUGCCUUUCAACAAGAUUUACCUGCUGCCUUGUAUUCAUGGGCGGUUAACUUGCUGCCACUAGCCGUCGUUAGUAACAAGUGCUGCUACAGCUCUCAGUCAAUUCAUCUCAUCCUGCAAUUUGUUGAGAUGUGAGUCCCUUUUUUUUUUUUAAGAUUCCCUCCCUCCCUCCUCUGCGCUUGUACGUCUAAAACCUUUGUUGUUUUUUUUUCUUUUAAUCAGGAGGAUUUUGUCCUCGAAUCCAGAGGCUCGGGCUGUACUCCUAAACGAGCCUGUUCGGCAUGGAGAGCGGCUGAUUCCACCUCGUUCGUUUGAGAUCUUGGUGCGCCUUACAUUCCCGCCUAGAGUAGAGGAGGCAACAACAGAGAGGUUUCAGGCAAUUUAUCCCUUGUUGAAGGAAGUUGCCCUUGCACAAGAUACAAGUGCAGACGCACUGAAACAGAUAUUCACUUUUUCUUUGAGAUUAGCUGGGGAAGAAGG
rnacentral:lncRNA from 1 species